ACGGCUCAUUAUAACAGCUAUAAUUUACUUGAUCUUGACACAAUCCUACUUGGAUAACUGUGGUAAUUCUAGAGCUNAUACAUGCAUUAAAGCUCUGACCUCACGGAAAGAGUGCAUUUAUUAGAACAAAACCAGCGGCUUCGGCUGUUUCAGGUUGACUCAUAGUAACUGAGCUGAUCGCAUGGUCUUGCACCGGCGACGUGUCUUUCAAGUAUCUGCCGUAUCAACUUUCGAUGGUAGUGUAUCUGACUACCAUGGUGAUCACGCGUAACGGAGAAUAAGGGUUCGGCUCCGGAGAGUUCGCCUGAGAAAUCGCGAACACAUCUAAGGAAGGCAGCAGGCGCGAAAAUUACCCACUCUCAGCACGAGGAGGUAGUGACGAAAAAUAACGAGACCGUUCUCUUAUGAGGCCGGUCAUCGGAAUGGGUACAAUUUAAACCCUUUAACGAGUAUCUAUGAGAGGGCAAGUCUGGUGCCAGCAGCCGCGGUAAUUCCAGCUCUCAAAGUGCAUAGAAUUAUUGCUGCGGUUAAAAAGCUCGUAGUUGGAUCUGUGCCAUAGGACGUGGUCCACUUUCGGGUGCGCACUACGCUCCUAGGCUUUUUGCUGGUUUUCCCGUCGUAGCCUUCACUGGUUGCGGCGGGUGGCUGGCGAGUUUACUUUGAGAAAAUCAGAGUGCUCAAUACAGGCGUAUCGCUUGAAUGAUUGUGCAUGGAAUAAUAGAAAAGGAUUUCGGUUCUCUUUUAUUGGUUUUGUGAACUGAGAUAAUGGUUAACAGGGACAAACGGGGGCAUUCGUAUCGCUGCGUGAGAGGUGAAAUUCUUGGACCGUAGCGAGACGCCCUACUGCGAAAGCAUUUGCCAAGAAUGUCUUCAUUAAUCAAGAACGAAAGUCAGAGGUUCGAAGGCGAUCAGAUACCGCCCUAGUUCUGACCGUAAACGAUGCCAACUAGCGAUCUGCCGGUGGAUUUUUAGCCCUGGUAGGUAGCUUCCCGGAAACGAAAGUCUUCCGGUUCCGGGGGAAGUAUGGUUGCAAAGCUGAAACUUAAAGGAAUUGACGGAAGGGCACCACCAGGAGUGGAGCCUGCGGCUUAAUUUGACUCAACACGGGGAAACUCACCCGGCCCGGACACCGUAAGGAUUGACAGAUUGAUAGCUCUUUCAUGAUUCGGUGGUUGGUGGUGCAUGGCCGUUUCU
rnacentral:rRNA from 1 species